GGUCUCGUAGCUCAGCUGGCAGAGCGUGCGCAUAUAAAGCUUAGGCGGCAUCCAUGCGUGGGUUUGAAUCCGACCGAGGCUA
rnacentral:tRNA from 1 species